rnacentral:rRNA from 1 species
UACGUAGGGGGCAAGCGUUGUCCGGAAUCAUUGGGCGUAAAGCGCGUGUAGGCGGUUCAGUAAGUCUGCUGUGAAAGUCCAGGGCUCAACCCUGGGAUGCCGGUGGAUACUGCUGGGCUAGAGUACGGAAGAGGCGAGUGGAAUUCCCGGUGUAGCGGUGAAAUGCGCAGAUAUUGGGAGGAACACCAAUUGCGAAGGCAGCUCGCUGGGACGUCACUGACGCUGAGACGCGAAAGCGUGGGGAGCAAACAGG